GUGUGUGUUGUUUUGGGGGUUUUUUACAUCUAAGUUAUGUAAGAUAUGUUGCAUUUGUUUUCUCUAUUAUAUAAAUGAAGAAAUUGGGUACUU